GCAGUGGUGGCUCAGUGCUUAAGGCUCUGGGUUACUGAUCCAAAGGUUUGGGGUUCAAGCUUCCACUGUUGGG